CUGCUUUCCAUCAUAUUUGGAGAAAUAGCAUUUUGUGCCAUCUUUGUAAACAGGAUUGCAUUAAAAAACCACCGUGUUUACUUUCGUCUCCUAGUAGAAAAAAAUCUAUAACGCCCCAAAUGUGGUAAAAUGCUGAAGAGAGAAUGGGACAUUGCAUUCUGAUCAGUUUGAUUUGCCUGCUAAGUGAAGGGAAGAAGCAGCAUGGUAUCUGAGUCAGAGACAGAUUGUAUGUUUAAACUGCUCAUACUGCAUAAAGGUGUCUCUGCAAGCAGAAUGUACAACUCUUGCUGAAGGGACAAGGAAUCAAGCAACACAAGGAGGAAACAAUCACCACCAACAGCGUUGAGAGUUGCUCUUGGAAAACUUCUGAAAUUAUCAUUACUGCUCUGUACAAAAGAAGCCAGAAAAUAACUGUGGAAUGGAGAGAUACUCUCUAGAGAAAAAGGUGUGUUAUCAUUUGAAAUGAAGGAGGGAGGCAUCUUGGGUCCAGUUCCUAAUCAGGAAUCACCAUGGAAACAGGAGCUACCCCCUUAUACCUUUCUUGUGAGGAAGUGAGGAAGCAAGAACCCCACAGGUGAAGUCCCUACAUAGGAAGGAGUCGUCACCCAUAAUUCUGUCUAACUCCUCCCAUCACUGUCAUCCAGCUGCUUCACUGUGUCUGCUGUGCAGGAAAAGCAGGAAUCCCAGAAGCAGGUGGUGGGAAGGACAGAGAUGGAAGGAUUGUUUCUGGAGUACCUGCCUGCAAUAACCAGUUAUUUCUGCAGAGCAAGUAUUCAGUUUUUCUUCUGCUUGGACAAGGAGGAAAAGCAAGGUCUGUCAAAAAGAGCCUUUAGAGUGUACAGGACAGACACCAAGUUCAGGAGUUAUUUUUAUUCCUUCAGAUCUCCUAGAAAUGUCUUGCUUUUGGCAGUUCACAUACAAGUGGAGACAACUCUGCGAAGUAUUGCCACUAGUGACUUCGCCCUUCUCAGUGAGCUGGUCCUGUGUGCUGGAAACAUCCCACCUCAAGGUAUGGGGUCAGGAAGGAGAGAUGGCAUUUGUUUUCCCCAGUCACUGUUACAUGUGAUAGAGCCCUGCUUUCCUGGAAAUUACUGAGCACCUUCCAAUGACAAGCAGUGAAUGAAUUCCCUUUUUUUUUGUUAGUUUGUAUGUAUAGCUUCUGCUUUCCUUAUUAAACUGUCUUUCUCUCAACCCAAGAGUUUUCAGUCUUUUCCAGUUCACUCCCUCAUGCCACUGGGGGUAAAUGAGUGAGUGACUGGGUGGUGCCUAGUUGUCAUCUGGGGUUAAAUCACAACACAACUAUGGAACACUCUUACAAAAGUAGUACUUGAGUUACAUGAAAAAUCAGAUUAUUCUAGACAUAGCAGCAGUUGAGUGAAAAUAUAACCAAAAGAACAGAGCUGGACUAAGACUGUGGAAAUAGUUUUGAUUUGAUAUUCAGGGAAUAUUAAAGUUAUUGUAUUCAGGUCUAAUGAACCAUCAGUGUUUCAAGGGUCAGAAAUAUCUUAAAGGGACAUUUCAGGACACCUAAGAUAGACCUGAAUCCUUCUUUGGAAAUAGCUUCCUUUUUCAUUCUGCUUUUUAGGGCCAUAAAAAAAUAAUUUAAAAACUCUCCAUUUAGUUAGGAAACAAAACUCUAUUAGUUAGGAAACAAAAUUUCCAUUGAGUUAAUUUAAUCUAAAGAUAAUAAUAAUUGCAAGUUGCAUCCUCUAGUUUCACCUAUUUAUUUGUAGAAUAAAUCUAUUGAUGCCAAAUUUUUUAAGAGAACU
rnacentral:lncRNA from 1 species